UACGUAGGGUGCGAGCGUUGUCCGAAAUUACUGGGCGUAAAGAGCUCGUAGGUGGUUUGUCGCGUUGUUCGUGAAAACUCACAGCUUAACUGUGGGCGUGCGGGCGAUACGGGCAGACUGGAGUACUGCAGGGGAGACUGGAAUUCCUGGUGUAGCGGUGGAAUGCGCAGAUAUCAGGAGGAACACCGGUGGCGAAGGCGGGUCUCUGGGCAGUAACUGACGCUGAGGAGCGAAAGCGUGGGGAGCGAACAGG
rnacentral:rRNA from 1 species